CAGAUCACAUCAGAGUGAGCAGAGUCUUACCUCAUUCAUCUCAUUCAUCUUCACCUUGAUACAGGCAAGGAAAUCAACUGGAAUUCUAUAGAAGUUCUGUGUGUGAUAAAUGGAACAUUUACUUCACUCUCUGGUUAAAAAUCUCGGGUCUUUGUACUGAAAAAAUUGUAAAUAUCUAAAUGUUUCUGAGGGGGGAGUCUCUCUCGUAUUUCCGUACUGAUCAGUACUGUAACGCAUUGAUCUCUGCCUAUGAGGCACAUCAAUUUAUCUUUUCUGGAGUAUCUGGAAGGACUUUAUGCAUUGAAUUUUCUCAGUAGUGCUAUAAAAUAACACAUCUUGGUGAAUGAAACUGGCCUGUUUAUGUAUGGAUUUUCUGCCUGGAGUGAUUUUGCUAAAAUCAAUAGCUCAUUAGAAAGAAAAAAGUCCAAUUCCCACAACUCGUAUCCAUGUAAAUGACAGAUCGACUUCAGCAACAGAGCCUGAGUUAUGACACCAGUUUUAGAAGAUGUGUUAUAUGUUCAAAUGCCCUGAUUGCAGUUUCAUUUUUUGCUUGGUCCUUCCUUUAACCCACCAUUUGUUAAGAGAAGUGCUGUAUUGGCAAAAUGGUUAAAUAGUUACUGAACAUAAGGUCUGUCAGUGAAUUCUUUAAAAAUGUGACUACAUCCCCAGCAAGAAACUUACUUUCAGCAAAGAAUGCAAGUGUAAACCUUUUUCAAAAUCACAGUCUAGAAAUCCUUCAUGUGUAUUGUAAUUCCUCAAAAGAAGGAUCAGGUUACUUGGAAAGAAGGAAGCUUUCCAUUGCAAGUGUGCAAAGCACUGCUGUCUUUAAUUUAUUGACUGAAUUGAUCUGACUUUUAAAGGACUCCCCAGCUUGGCAUCAGUAUUCUGUUUAUCAGUCAUGCAAUGAAUCUGUCCUUCUUCCCUGUGUAUAAGUACAUAAUAGCUGUUAAAUUAUGAAGACAGGCCUUGCUGGAUCAUUAAGUAUU
rnacentral:lncRNA from 7 species